rnacentral:lncRNA from 1 species
UCAUUACAUUUAUUUAUUUUUUUACAUAGUUGGGUGUUUUUUUCAAAAAUUAAAAAAGAAUAUUGAAAAGGGAGAAAUGGUUAUUGUACAAUUAAGUAAGAGCAGUAGUACAACAUCAGGUAGUUCCCCCUCACGUGGCUGUGAAUUGGAGGGGAAUAGUGACAGCGUGGUGGGUGUGGGUAGCAGUGCAGUUGGUUCGGAUAUAACGAACGGUGUAAGAAGUGGGUAUAGUGUGCAUGUCAGACAGGACGGACAGAACGGGCAGAACAGGCAGAAUGGGCAGAACGAAGAAACUGGUGCGAAAAAUAAAAAACCCAAUAAUAAAUUAAAUAUAACAUACGAAAGUGUAUGUAUUACAAUGUAUAAAGAGAUACAUAAAAUGACUAAGGAUGAAAAUUUGAAUAUAUGUGUUUUCUACCCAUUGUUAAGUAUAUUAUGUAAACAUCAUAAUGACAUAAAUGAAACAAUUAACUUUUUUUAUAAAAAAGUUGAUAUAUAUAUGAAAAGUAAUGAAACUCAAUUAAAUAUGAUGAAUACUAAUGAAAUAAUUAUAAUUUUAUUAUGUUUAAAUUAUAUACAUUGUAAUAUUUCACAAAUACCUAAAUUUUAUACGUUUUUAAUUAAUUUAUUUAAUGUAAUAGAAGAUAAAAAUAUUAGGAACAUUAUUAUGUAUUGUUUAAGUUCAUGUUGUCAAUAUACAAAUUUGGCUAGUUCGGAUAUCUUGUUUAUUUUGAAUAUCCAUAUGAAACAUUUGCAAUGUAUGUUAAGUCAUAGCUCUUGGAGAAGCUCAUCUGUUCCAUCGGAAAUGGAAAGUACAUUGGAGGAAGGUGUUACAAAUAUUGGUACACAUUGUGACAGCCUGAACAACAUAACAACGGAACUGAAUUGCUGUUGGUUAAACACACAAGACAACGAUGUUGACGAUAUAACGAAAGCCUUGAACAAUUGUGAUAAUUUUUAUUUUUUCAUUUCUCUUAGCAAUUUAUGUUUUUACAUAUAUAAACACUACAAUAGUGAGCGAUUUGACAGUAUAAUUAAAAAUAUAUAUGAUAUCAUUAUAAAUUUUUUGAAAAAAAACAAAAAAAUUAAUAACGUUAUAAUGAGUUUAACAAAUAUUAUGGUAUAUUUAUAUAUAAAAAAAGUAAUUACUAUACAUGAGAUAAUAAUUAAUUUAAAUAUUUUUAUAACCAAUAUAAGUAACAAUUUGGUUUAUGACACAAAAUAUGCUAUAU